rnacentral:lncRNA from 1 species
GGCGGUGGCGACGACUGCUGGCGGGAGGAUCCGGCGCAGGGCUUCUGUGUGGGAACCGUGAAAGAAGAAAGGGAAAAACAGUAAGGUUUUUUUUUUUUUUUUUUUGUCUCUGGUGAAAACACAGACCGAGAGAGAGGAAGGUUUGGAUGCGGGUGGCUGUCGAUCUGGGUCUUCACAGACUCGGCAGUGUACCCCCUUUUUUUUUUUUUUUGAACAGACUGACAGAGGGAAAGAGGCCUGUUCUUGUUGUUGAUGGUAACCGAGGGAAAGAAAAAAAAAACUGUUGAUGGAUCGCGGCUUUGGCAAUAGAAGCAAAACCGAUAGCUCUGAUACCAAGUUGAUG